GACGAACGCUGGCGGCGUGCUUAACACAUGCAAGUCGGACGGAAAGGCUCCAGCUUGCUGGAGUACUCGAGUGGCGAACGGGUGAGUAACACGUGGGUAAUCUGCCCUGCACUCUGGGAUAAGCCUGGGAAACUGGGUCUAAUACUGGAUAUGACCUUUCUCCUUAUGGGGUUUGGUGGAAAGUUUUUCGGUGUAGGAUGAGCCCGCGGCCUAUCAGCUUGUUGGUGGGGUGAUGGCCUACCAAGGCGACGACGGGUAGCCGGCCUGAGAGGGUGAUCGGCCACAUUGGGACUGAGAUACGGCCCAGACUCCUACGGGAGGCAGCAGUGGGGAAUAUUGCACAAUGGGCGGAAGCCUGAUGCAGCGACGCCGCGUGAGGGAUGACGGCCUUCGGGUUGUAAACCUCUUUCAGCAGGGACGAAGCGUAAGUGACGGUACCUGCAGAAGAAGCACCGGCUAACUACGUG
rnacentral:rRNA from 1 species